UGUGUGUCUAAAGAACAAUUGUCUUGUAAUAGCAGUUUAAUUCCUUAUAUUCAUCACAUUAACAACAAUUGGACAGUUAAAGAUUAAGGAAUAUUUAUCAUUUAUACAAAAUGCACUGAAGUUUGGUUGUUUUCCCAAUCUCAUAUGCAGUGUACGCGUGUGUUUCCAGGGUGGUUACGCUGCCUACAGAUUUGCCCAGCCUACUGCUGCCACAGCAGCUGCAUACAGUGACAGUUAUGGACGAGUAUAUGCUGCCGAUCCCUACAACCACACACUCACUCCAGCAGCCACAUACAGCGUUGGUGCCAUGAAUGCAUUCACCCCUCUGACAGAUGCCAAAACACGGAGCCAUGUUGACGACGUCGGGCUUGUGCUGUCCUCCCUCCAGGCUAGUAUAUACCGGGGAGGCUACAGCCGCUUUGCUCCCUAUUAGCUACACCUCCCCAACUGAAACACAACCUUCCAACUGGACAUGAAGAAAGCGUGUGCGUGUGUGUGCAUGUGUGUGUUUGCAUAAACAGAGGAGUGUGAAUAUAAGACAGACAAUGCUGAGGCCUGGGUAUUGCAAUACAUGCAAUUUAAGCAUCAUUUCAGCAUCUCCUGAGAGAGAGAGAGAGAGA